ACACAAUCAUUGAUUAUCAGUGGAGAAAGGCAUCAAGGUCAAGAGCAUAUUUCUCUGAAAAGCGUUCAAAGGAUUCUGAUGAGAUUGUCACUGGUGAAUGUUAGAAUCGCUGAAGAACUGAAUGCGUUAGACAUUGUUAUUCAUCCAAGACAUGAAAAGCAAAUGAGACCACAUCAGUUGGCAGGUUUCCACUUUCUGGUUAGUCUCGGUUGCAUUCUCGCUCAUGCCCCUGGUUCGGGGAAAACAUUUAUGCUGGUUAGUUUUUUUCAGAGCUUCUUGGCAAAGUAUCCCUCUGGAAGGCCUCUCGUUGUACUCCCUAAAGGCAUAUUAGGUACAUGGAAACGGGAAUUUCAACGAUGGCAAGUGGAGGACAUACCACUGUAUGAUUUGUGCUCUGUCAAGGGUGACAGAGAGAUCAGUUGGAAAUCCUUAACGCUUGGCAAACCAAUAGGAGUAUCCUCUUGGUUGGAUACACCCAGUUCUCUUGGAUCAUUAACAGUGAUGGGUGUGUCACCAUCGCAGCUGCAUGCUGGGACAUGUUGCUUAUGGUGCCUAACCUACUUAUAAUCACUGCACAGAGUACAUACUCCACGUAAUUGGUCCUUCCACUUUUCCAGAAUCACGUCACAGAAGUGUUCAACAUCUUGAACCUUUUAUGCCUGAAGUUUCUCAAGAUAGUAGCAUAUAUCCUAUUGUUCGCGGGAUUUGAGAAGGGGUCACUAAUAAAUUCACUGAGUCAGUAGAAGAGGCCCUACUGCAUGAUGAUAACUAAACAAGAAAAGCACAUGUCAUUAGAAGUCUCAGAGAACUAACAAAAGGCGUGCUUCACUACUACAAGGGUGAUAUCUUGGAUGAACUACCUGACCUAGUAGACUUCAGUGUCAGAAAUCGUUCAUAAGUUGGAAGACUAUAAGAAGUAAAAAAAAAAAACGCAGUAGGAACUGCCCUGUACAUGCAUCCAUGUCUGUCAGAAAUAUUAGAAGUUGAUGCUGCAAAUAGGGCUUCCAGCUUGACAGAUGUAACUGUUGAUAGUCUGGUCCGGUCUAUCAACGUGGCCGACGGUGUGAAGGCCAGAUUUUUCACCAAUAUCCUGUCACUUGUGGAAUCUGCGGUAGAGAAGGUCAUUGCAUUUAGUCAGUACAUUACUUCCCAUGAAUUUUUUGAAAAGUCUAUUGGUUAAGACAAGUGGCUGGCAAGUAUUAGAGUUCUUUGUGAUCCGCUGUGAUAAUAAAUCUACUUCAGAAGACAAAGAACUGACAAUGGAUCAGUUUAACAACUCUAUUGAUGCAAAAGUCUUGUUUGGCUCUACCAAGGCAUGCGGGGAGGGCAUCUCCCUGGUGGGCGCAUAAAGAGUCGUCAUUCUAGAUGUUCACUUGAACCCCAUUGUUACCUGUCAAGCAAUCGGGCCGGCGUACUGGCCUGGGCAGCAAAAGAAAGUGUUGGCUCGUAGCAGCUGAUUCUCUGGAGAACACCUAUGAAACUGCAUUCAAGAAGGUGAUACCAAAGCUGUGGUUUGAAUCGAGCGAGCAGUGCUGCACAUCGGAGGACUUCCAGCUGAACGAAGUUGAUAUCAACAACAGUGGGGAUGAGCUGCUGGACAACAGGACGAUGUGCUAGGACAUCAAGGCUUUUUGUAUGCAAGGUGAAGGCAGGCUGGCUGUUGUACGUACACCAUGUAUAUAUGGCUUUCCGAUCGUUCGAGAUUGUCAUUGUUGUCAAGUAAGGCUCCUCUAGAACCAAAAGAAAGAGGAAACAUACUUGACUUGGUACAUCUUCACAGAUACCUUAUAUUGGUUCUUAUGGGCCUUCUCUUCCUUCAGAUGCAUCAAACACUCUACAUGUUGAAAUUCUCCCAUCCAACUAUACUAGACAGGAGCUUGCACGUAUCCCUUUAUGCAUAUGAUUCUCUUGCUAUUAUUAAUUUUUUUGUCAUUUUGUUCAUAACUGAACAAUAUUUUAUGUUUAUGUCCUUACCAAUCUAUGUCUCAAUCUUUAAUUUUCUGUUUUUGUUUUCACCAUUUAGUGCUUCAGCUCCUUGAUUCUCGCUUCUCUACAUAUAUUUUGCCCUUUUACCGGGUUCUGUGAAGUAAGGCUGGUCAAAGAGGAUAUAAUAGCUUAUGUUGUCUUAGAAACUCUUGCCCUGGCGUUUUCUGCCAUGAAAUCUCUGCUAGGUGACUAUAACAUUUUUGUCAUCCUAAGUUGUGUCUCCUACAUUCUAGUAUCCUACUUAAUACUAAUGUCACUAAAUCUUUUGAAGUGUUGUUUGCACAUCCUUUGCAUCGAUAUCAUUGUGUGCCUAAAUUGUGGCUUUUAUGUAAGUACUUAUGGUAGUUGUCAAUCCUUUGGUUGUUUCAAUAUUUGGUUGCACAACUUUCAUGUUCUUACUGAGCUAGAGUUAACAUUCUAGAAUCUGCAUGCAUGAUACAUCCAAUUGCCAUGUUCUUUUCUGCUAUGUUUCACUUCCAAUAAGUUAUGUGUCUACUAUUUUUUUUAUGUAUCAUACGUCUUUCCUUAUAUGAAUUUAUUCAUGUGAUACCCAGCAUCUGGCAGAUAACUUUAACCUAAAAAUAUGAAUUUAUUUUUCUGCUACCACUAUUUUUCGUUUCUUUAGUAUUUUAGCACAUCAAACUUUGUUUCCUAGAUGAUCAAUUUCAGGCUUUCUACUGUUAGCGUAAUACUUUGUAUGUGACUCACUAUCGUACUAUAGUACAUAUUUUCAAAUAUGAGCGUAUAGCAUGAAGUUGACACUUGUUCAAUUGUGGGCUUCAAACAAAAUGUGAUGCUUCCUUUUGCAGGUUAUUUGUUUGACAUACAUGACAAAUACUCGCUCAAAUUGGACCUUCAAUUAUUUACUGGUCUGAGGUCAAUUGAUGCAUCUUUGUGGGUUUCGGUUUCUUCAAUAUCAGUCUAAAACCUUAAAUUUGCAACUGCUUCCUUUGCUUUUGUUUCCUCAUGAACGAGAAUGGACAAGUUGAUUGUUUCUUGGGCCUUACCUGAUAUGCUAUGAUGAGCCUAUAUUAGAAUUGAAAUUGGUAUUAUAAGUUGCAUGUUGUAUGAGAUGCUCUAGUUUGUUAUUUCGUACUGUAACUUAUCAUGUAUCUGCGUGACCCAUACAAAACAGUAUGCGACAGUGGAUCAAACAUUCAAACUUUUGCAAUCAUGGAAAGGUUUUUUUAUUACCAAAAGUAAAAGGUUUAUGUCUGGUGGGCGUAUUAUGCCUGUCUCCAGUCUCAUGGAUUGACAUCAAUAUUUGGAAAAUUGGUGCCUUCUGCAAUCCUUGAGAUGGAAUUUGCCAUGGAAGAGAUCACGUAGCUUUUAUAUGUACAGUUAAAUAUUUUUUGUAUCAAAAUAGCUGGAAUAGCUUAGUUGGCUAGAGCAUGUGGCUGUUAACCACAACGUGGGAGGUUCAAGCCCUCCUUCUAGCGAGUUUUUUUUCCCACUUUUCGUGCAUGUAUGAUACAAAAAGAAAACUAAAUGUAUUCUUUUAGUAUCAUGUAUUUGUACUACACUCUAAUUGUAGUUGUUGGAUUCUUCCUACACAUAGCUAUGUAUCCCAUCAUUCCUUGUAUGGACCCCCCUAACAUAUUCUUUGCGUCGGUCAUGUCAUGUGCUUAUUUAAAUAUGAACUCAAUAUUGUUGGGUAAUUUGUUUAGUUUCUAUGAACAAAACAGCAUGAAGGACUGCUUGUAUAAUGAUCAAUGGCCAUAAUUAAGCAUGUAGCUUUGAUGACCUGGAGAUUUUAGUACAUACUGAACAUUUCAACUGCUUCUUUUAAUUUGCGAUGAUAAAUAAUAGGGUAAUGGUAUGCCAUCUUGACAGUUGGUACAACCACUCAAGUGUUCUUGCUUUUGCCACUCAAAUUUGACUACAUAGAACUAGGACCCUUCUGUCCGGAAUUUCUGGAUCUAAUUAAAAUAAACUUUUCUACAUCUAAGGACUGUACUACAGUUUAGUUAGUCCAAUGCUUACCAUGUUUUGCCUAUGUAUAUGCAAAAUACAUUUAGUUAUAUUUCUGGUUGAAGAGAAGGGGUGGGCGACACUAACUACAGUGUCAAGAUGCUUGCAUUGUCUUCAACUUACUUUACAUGUUACAAUACUAGUUACUGGAUUCCAUCACUCAUGUUUUUAGAUAUUAUGGAAUGAUGGCUAUAUCUGAUCGUGAUCCCUCUACAGUCGUAUUUGUCCAAAAGAAUUCUUUAUUUGGCUCCUACGUUCCUUGUGAGCUAGUGUUGUCGAAGAAAUCGUCAAGAAUAGAUGACUUAGUGUAUGUUGCUUCUCCCAGAAGUGGAAGCACCACACCACUCUUUUAAGGUGCGUUGUUGCCGUGCAUUAUACAAAUGACAGGUAUGGGAGGAUAAACAAUGGUAGGAUGUGGAACAUGCAGUUUGCGCUCAAAUUUUUCCUUUUCUUUUUGAAACGAAACAGUUUGGGCCAAAAUUUGAUCAAUAAGCUGUUCUGUUCAACGAACGGUGGGAUGUUUUGCACUUUUUCAAGUCUACAUUUCUAUUUUUACCGUGUCUUGCUUUUAGUACAAAUAAUAGAUAGAUAGAUGAUGUGGCUUGUCUACAUUGUGCAAGACAUGGGUUUAGUAACAAAUAUGGAACUUUGGAUUAUCAUUAUUUUCAUUUUUUUUACAUGGUAUUCAUGAAAUUUAAAUGUAUCAUUGGAACAAUCAAUUAACAUUGUAUUUACCUCAUGUCAGGCAUCAAGGUCAAGAUCAUAUUUUUGUGAAAUGCGUUCAAAGGAUUCUGAUGAUAUUGUCAUUAGUGAUGCUAGAGUCGCUGAAGAACUCAUUGCGUUAGACAUUUCUAUUCAUCCAA